UACGGAGGGGGCUAGCGUUGUUCGGAAUUACUGGGCGUAAAGCGCACGUAGGCGGCUUUGUAAGUUAGAGGUGAAAGCCCGGAGCUCAACUCCGGAAUUGCCUUUAAGACUGCAUCGCUCGAAUCAUGGAGAGGUGAGUGGAAUUCCGAGUGUAGAGGUGGAAUUCGUAGAUAUUCGGAAGAACACCAGUGGCGAAGGCGACUCACUGGACAUGUAUUGACGCUGAGGUGCGAAAGUGUGGGGAGCGAACAGG
rnacentral:rRNA from 1 species